rnacentral:lncRNA from 1 species
UCACCGUCUCCCAACUACGAGGUGGCUUCGACGGCGAAACCGGUUGCUGCGAUGGCCAAAGUUAAGAAGAAGGCAGGGUGGUGGUGGUGCUCGGUCAGGGUGGUGGUGCUCGGUGAGGGUGGUGGUUGGUUGCAGGGUGGUGGUGCUCGUUGAGGGUGGUGGUGAUGCUUGGUGAAGAAGAACUCUACUGAAUUGGGUCAAACAAAGUGGAUGACAGACUUUCUUUGAAGUUGACAAUAAACAGGGAGAUGACAGAGAGAGAGAGAGGGGACUGAAUGGACAGAGGUGCAGAAAAAAUGCAGCUGCACACGUGGCAGAAGGUCAUUGGGCGUGAGGGAAGAUCUUUUAAGCCGGGUUGGAAUUCGUGUAAAGGCUUGGGGAGCCGUGUCAGUUGGCCAAAAUUGAAAAAACGGCGCUGACUUGGCUAUUUUCGUGAUUUCCCCUUUUUUUUU